UACGGAGGGUGCAAACGUUGCUCGGAAUCAUUGGGCGUAGAGCGUGUGUAGGCGGUCUGUUAAGUCGGGUGUGAAAGCCCUGGGCUCAACCCAGGAAGUGCAUUCGAAACUAGCAGACUUGAGUACGGGAGAGGGUCGCGGAAUUCCCGGUGUAGAGGUGAAAUUCGUAGAUAUCGGGAGGAACACCAGUGGCGAAGGCGGCGACCUGGACCGAUACUGACGCUGAGACACGAAAGCGUGGGGAGCAAACAGG
rnacentral:rRNA from 1 species